UCGUCCUUUCAGUCCGCCCGCCAGGAGAGGGAACGGAGCUCUAGAUAGGAUGAGAUAAAACGGAAAGGUAUUAAUCUGAAGGAAAGUCACGUGUAAGAGUUUCCUUUAAAAUUCUGAAAUUCUUGCGAAAACUCAGUAACUUCUUGUCUUGAACUUCUGACAGCACAAGAUGUCCAAAGGACCAGCAGUCGGUAUUGAUCUGGGAACCACAUAUUCCUGCGUGGGGAUCUUCCAGCAUGGCAAAGUGGAAAUCAUUGCUAAUGACCAAGGAAACAGGACCACGCCAAGCUACGUGGCCUUCACAGACACUGAGAGAUUGAUUGGGGACGCUGCCAAGAACCAGGUGGCCAUGAACCCAACCAACACUGUAUUUGAUGCGAAGCGUCUAAUUGGUCGUAAGUUUGACGAUCCUGUGGUGCAGUCAGACAUGAAGUACUGGCCCUUCAAGGUUGUGAAUGACUCAAGUAAACCUAAGGUGGAGGUUGAAUACAAGGGUGAGAUAAAGACCUUCUACCCUGAGGAGGUGUCCUCGAUGAUCCUAACCAAGAUGAAGGAGAUCUCUGAGGCUUAUCUCGGGAAGGCUGUCACCAAUGCAGUUAUCACAGUUCCUGCUUACUUCAAUGACUCCCAGCGGCAAGCCACCAAAGAUGCCGGAACCAUUGCCGGUCUCAAUGUGCUGCGUAUCAUCAAUGAGCCCACUGCUGCAGCCAUUGCUUAUGGCCUGGACAAAAAGGUUGGCGGUGAACGUAACGUCCUUAUCUUUGACCCUGGAGGGGGUACUUUUGAUGUGUCAAUCCUGACUAUUGAAAGAUGGCAUCUUUGAGGUCAAGGCCACAGCCGGGGACACCCACUUAGGGGGUGAGGACUUUGACAACCGCAUGGUUAACCACUUCAUAGCUGAGUUCAAACGCAAGUUCAAAAAGGAAAUCAACAGCAACAAGCGAGCUGUGCGUCGUCUACGCACAGCUUGUGAACGUGCCAAGCGCACCCUCUCCAGCAGCACCCAGGCCAGCAUUGAGAUAGAUUCCCUCUACGAAGGAGUAGACUUCUACACUUCCAUUACCAGAGCCCGUUUUGAGGAGCUUAAUGCAGAGCUCUUCCGUGGGACCCUCGAGCCUGUGGAAAAGGCCUUGAGAGAUGCCAAGAUGGACAAGGCCCAGAUCCAUGACAUUGUACUGGUGGGUGGCUCCACACGCAUCCCCAAGAUUCAAAAGCUGCUGCAGGACUUGUUCAAUGGCCGUGACCUCAACAAGAGCAUCAACCCUGAUGAAGCAGUGGCUUAUGGUGCAGCUGUGCAGGCAGCCAUUUUGGCUGGUGAUAAGUCUGAGAAUGUGCAGGACCUGCUCCUGCUGGAUGUCACACCCCUGUCCCUGGGAAUUGAGACCGCUGGAGGAGUAAUGACUGUUCUUAUCAAAAGGAACACAACCAUUCCCACCAAGCAAACCCAAACCUUCACCACCUAUUCAGACAACCAACCUGGUGUGCUUAUUCAGGUUUAUGAAGGCGAGAGAGCCAUGACCAAGGACAAUAACAGCCUGGGCAGAUUUGAGCUGACCGGUAUUCCACCCGCUCCCAGAGGCGUCCCUCAGAUUGAGGUCACCUUUGACAUUGACGCCAACGGCAUUCUCAAUGUGUCUGCAGUGGACAAAAGCACUGGAAAAGAGAACAAGAUCACCAUCACAAAUGAUAAAGGACGUUUGAGCAAGGAGGACAUUGAGCAGAUGGUGCAAGAGGCAGAACAGUUCAGAUCUGAGGACGAGGCCCAGAGAGAGAAGGUCACUGCCAAGAACUCCCUGGAGUCUCUGGCCUUCAACAUGAAGAGCACAGUGGAGGACGAGAAGCUCCAAGACAAGAUAAGCCCUGAGGACAAAAAGUCCAUCGUAGACAAGUGCAACGAAAUAAUUUCCUGGCUGGACAGGAACCAGACGGCAGAGAAGGAUGAGUACGAACACCAGCAGAAGGAACUGGAAAAGGUGUGCAACCCCAUCAUCUCCAAGCUGUACCAGGGGGGCAUGCCGGGAGGGAUGCCAGGAGGGAUGCCUGGUGGUUUCCCUGGUGGAGCUGGAGGCGGCUCCUCCUCUGGCCCAACUAUCGAGGAAGUCGACUGAAGACUAUGCUGACAGUGCCUUUAUCUCAGAUCCCAACAUGCACAUACUGCCUUAAGGCUGUUUACUUUGCCAGAAUCAACCUGCAAUAAAAUGUACUGAUCACAGCCCUCUUAUGUUAUACACAUUAUGCUUAUCAUGUUUCUUCACAAAAUUCUAAUAAACUAUAUUAGACAGGCAUUUAAAAUAUUCAGUCAAAUAAGAAGCUGGCUGUUGUUUAUUAUUUCCGUCAUGAGUGAUAAUUUGCUUGAGGUAUUCCAACAUCAAAUCAAUAAAAACAUUGGGAGGUUG